CGCAUGCUCCUCUUCCAUCGCUGUGCACGGGCUAACCCUAGCAAGCUCGGCAGCGAUUCCUGCCCGGCCAACGGCGAGCGGUGGGGGCAUGGCCCUGCAUGCAGCCCAGGCGCGGGCGGCGCGGCCACACGCGAGGCACGCGUGCCUGCUUUCGCAGGCGGGCGCUGCGUGUCGGCUAGCCAGGCGGGAGCGGCGCGGCCAGACCCGACGCGCGUGUGCCUGGUCCCGUGGGCGGGUGCCGCAGCCAGGCAUGGGCGGCGGGCGCCGCAGCCAGGCGUGAGCAGCAGGCCCCACGUGCUGGCCAGGUGCCGCGGGUGGGCGCGGCGCUGCCCCGCGUGCUGGGCGAGUGGUGGCUAGGCCCGGCGGCCGUGGAGGCACGGGCUCGUGCUUGUCUAGACCAGCUGCACCAACCAGCCCCGGGUGCACGUGCCGGCCAUGGAUGGGGGCAAUCCAGUUGUGGAUUUGGAGGCUAGGUCAAAUCAUACGGUUUCGUUCUAAAUGUAGGGGCAUAUUCGCAAGUGCAAACUUUUCUUCUCCUAGGUCAUUUGACACCAUUACAUGCUCUUCAUGGAGUAGGGGUAAGCGGAGUGAAAAAGUAAGGGAAAAAUCACAAACGGAAUAAAAGCGGGGGCAAAAUCACAAUUGGAUUUCAAAGUAGGGGCAAGAAUGCAAUAGCCCCAUAAAUUUAAUAAAAUUAAUUAAGCAAGUUAUCGAAACAAAUCAUCACACAAAGUCAAAUGAAAGUAUACUUUAUUUUCUGUAAUCAGUGCUUUUGUGGAGAAUGCUUUAAGGCCAAGCAAACGAAUGGUUCAGAUUUCCCAUCGAUCCAUUGGACUAUACCUUUUCUUGUGCUUAUGAUACCCAAUACUUUACAAUAGAUCACUAUAUUAACUUCGGCCUUCACAAUUCUUCUCAGUUUUGGUUUUUUAGUUUUAAAUUCAGAAUGACCAUAUGCAAACCAUGUAGAGAAAAACUUUGGCAAUGAUGGUGGAGAAAACUUAAAUGCCAAAAUGUUAUUAUUAUCAGCCUUACUAAUUUUCAGAAUACAUUGUCUGACACUAUCUAGAGUUAUUUCAUUUCUAGCAAGCAAAUUACUUUCCUCAAUCGAUCUCUUAUAAAUCCACAUAACAAUAUCACUUGUAGAUGUAUCAACUAAAAAAAUAUGAUUUGAUUGGGAACUAGGUAAACUAUUUGUAAAGCGUACCUUGUCAUAUAUGUUGGAGAGGCAUGGAAUCUUGAUGUGGAUGAUAUCGUACUUCUUCUCUUGAUGACAUCCUGCAGGCCAGACCAGUUUACCUAAACUGGUUAGGCUGGUUUGUCCAAAGUAACUGAAAAAACACUGAAUGCUGGCAUUUCAAUGCCUUCUUCUUUCUUUCGAGAUUAUGGUCUUCACCAUCUUGCCAGGGGCGGAGCCGGGGCGUGCUGGGUAUACUGUAGCACGGGCCUAGCCAAAUUCAUCCCAUGUAAAUUCAUUCCUGUAUUUAAAGCCAAAGCAGUAGUAUUAAACGACAUGUUUUGUGGUGGAAAACUUAUUGUGAAUUCAGUGCCGAUGUAUAAAAAAUAUAAAAUACCUUGUUAUAUAUGAAUAUUGCUAGAAUUAGUAGCA